rnacentral:tRNA from 1 species
CGCCGUAUACGGCUCGGCUCACCUCGUCAGGCUCAUAACCUGAAGGUCGUAGGUUCAAAUCCUACUCCCGCACCCA